GACGAACGCUGGCGGCGUGCUUAACACAUGCAAGUCGAACGGAAAGGCCCUGCUUUUGUUGGGUUCUCGAUUGGCGAACGGGUGAGUAACACGUGAGUAACCUGCCCUUGACUUUGGGAUAACUUCAGGAAACUGGGGCUAAUACCGGAUAGGAGCUCCUGCUGCAUGUUGGGGGUUGGAAAGUUUCGGCGGUUGGGGAUGGACUCGCGGCUUAUCAGCUUGUUUGUGGGGUAGUGGCUUACCAAGGCUUUGACGGGUAGCCGGCCUGAGAGGGUGAACGGCGACAUUGGGACUGAGAUACGGACCAGACUCCUACGGGAGGCAGCAGUGGAGAAUAUUGCACAAUGGGCGGAAGCCUGAUGCAGCAACGCCGCGUGCGGGAUGACGGCCUUCGGGUUGUAAACCGCUUUCGCAUGUGACGAAGCGUGAGUGACGGUAAUGGGUAAAGAAGCACCGGCUAACUACGUG
rnacentral:rRNA from 1 species